rnacentral:rRNA from 1 species
CAAUAGCGUAUAUUAAAGUUGUUGCAGUUAAAAGCUCGUAGUUGGAUUUCUGGUUUGAUGCCCUGGCCCCGCUGCUAUUUUAGUAGUGUGUGCCGGUUGUGCGUCUGCCAUCCUUCUAGGGAACGUUCCUUCUCUUCACUGAGCCGGGUUCGUGAUCUAGAUCGUUUACUUUGAAAAAUUAGAGUGUUUAAAGCAGGCUUUUGCUAUGAAUACAUUAGCAUGGAAUAAUAAUCUAGGACUUCGGUUCUAUUUUGUUGGUUUCUAGUACUGAAGUAAUGAUUGAUAGGGAUAGUUGGGGGUGCUAGUAUUGACCGGCCAGAGGUGAAAUUCUUGGAUUCGGUCAAGACUAACUUAUGCGAAAGCAUUCACCAAGGAUGUCUCUUUAAUCAAGAACGAAAUUGGGGGAUCGGAAGACGAUCAGAUACCAU